AGUUAAAUUAUUUCUUUAGGUUAAACAAUGAGAGAUCAGAAUACUGAUGAGGAAAGGAAUCAAGAUUUUUUGAAACAUAAUAUAUGAAAUGAAGGAAUCCUCAUCAUGGCUUAUGAACCUUGAUUUACUCUGUGGAGGACGUCUCCUGAGCCAUAUGCAUAGAAUAUAGCUCUCUGUGACUGUGCUGUGGAGCAAAUAAGUUUCAGAGGCAAAGGCUAAAACAACUGUUAUGUCACAAAACUGUAUGGCUGGAAGAUCUUAGGAAAACUGCCAUUUCCAGAAGACAAAACAGUUCCAUCCGUUUUCCAGAAGGUGGAAUUUAAGUCCUGCUUUGUUCAGUCUGGAGCGUGUAUCCUGCCUCUCUGCGCUGUACUGUCGGGAGGCCAUGCCUCUGGGAACGUCCUUGGCUGCCAG
rnacentral:lncRNA from 1 species